AGCAUUGCACCUCCUCCUGCCUGGGGCUCCUGGAGGCCCCCUCCAAGCAGUUUUCAUAGCACUGCCGGAGGCCUUGGGAGCUCCUCACUGGCCGUGUUCCAUCUCCACCCUCCACUCAUCAGCCCUGGUUGCUGAUGGUCAGCGAUUGCAACUGUGGCUCACAGGCCCCUCUCGCAGCUGCCACUGAGCUCAGAAGCACCGGCUGCAUUCCCCCACUGCACCACAAGCAGGCGCAUGGAUGUGUGGGUGGAGGGUCACACGGUCUCGCAGCCUUCCGGGACCCCACAGGAGCAGGCGAACUGACGGGUGGGGAGGGUCACGUGGUCAGGCACAGUAGAUAACGUGUUCACGCAGUCUUCCCUGUGCACGAAGGAGCAGGCGCAGGGAUGUGUGGGGCAAAGGUCAUGUGGUCGUGCAGUCUUCCCCGACGCACACAGGAGCCGGCACAGGGAUUCACAUGGUCCUGCAAUGCAUCCCCCUCUGGGUGGCCCAGUGAACCCCAUUUGCUAAGGAACCAUCAGCUUGACCAUCGGAUGCAGGCAGGGCCUGGCCACCCAGGUCUCAUUUGUGCCGGUGUUGUUUGGGGAUGGAAUGGCCUGGCAGUUGGUGCUGGUUCAGGAAUGCCAUGGGUUACUGUGAUUUUAUUCCACUGUCUGUGGUGGAAGCAGUGUUGGUAGUGGGAUUGGCUGCCACGCUGGCAGUGGAGGGAAGCAGGCUGUGGGCAGAGAGCACUAUGGUCACGGGGUCGGAGUAGGGAACUUCUGAGACGUUCUCUUAGUGCUGGUUACCACCGCUUCAUGGUGUGUGCCAGGAAGCCAACAGGUUCUAAGAACAAUUUAUGGGAAUAAGAAAUAAACUUGCGCAGUAACUUCGUUUCUGUGCGCGUCGGGAAGAGACGGCCAGCUGUUGGCUUUAACAGCAGAGCCAGGCUCGUGUGCUCUGCAGCGGCCUCUCCGGAGCGGCAUCUUCCCAGCCUGCGGCCCUGGAGCCAUGCCUAGGUGGGCUGAAGGCCAAGGCUGCAUCCUCCUCCCCUGCAACAAAAUAUGAAACAGCAACAAAAGAUGGGAAAGGACGCGAUAGUUAAAACUAAAUUUUACAGAUAAAGGAAAGCUGCCCGUAGACUCGUGGAUUAAAUUGAGUGGUCCUCAAGGGAAGCUGUGUUCUAAAUGUGAGUAUCAGGAAAUAAGGUAUUUCUGAAAAUAACAUGCAGGCUUUUCCGUCAAGAAGUUAAAAAGAACAUUUGACUAAAUUCAAAGCAGAAGAAAGAGGAACUCGUAAGAGCCGAAAUUAGUAUGAUUUGAUCACAACAGAGAGAAUGAACAAAUCUAAAGUGGUUCUGUAAACAGAUUAAUGAAAUAGAAAAGUAUCUGGUGAUGUCAGCUUAGAAGUUUUGGUAGGCAGACACAGAUAACAUUAGAAAUGAAACCAGAGAGCAGGCUUGGUGUAAAUCCGCAGGAGAGUGUGGUGGGCAGCGUUACUCCGUUAUCUGAAAGGCAGCUGGGAGAGGUUGGUAGCAGGAGGGGAAAAUACGCCGAAACCUUCCAGGAGCGAUUUCCUCAUUGACAACAACAGUGAGAUUAACCCAAGAAAAAGGAGAGACCCUGCACAGUGGGGCUGGGUGCAGUGAAGCCACAAGCAGGAGCUGCCCGUGGGCACGGCCGCGCACUGGUUUCAUAAGGUGACCACACGAGGAAGCCGCCGGGAGGAAGUGACAGGCGCGUCUUACUUAACAGCUGGUGGCGACAGUCCUGAGCACCUGUUAGCCAGCAAACCCAGCAAUCCCUUUCAAGAAACAGCCCUAACUGGGAGCCGCAUAGCACUGAAGGCAGCUCUCGCCAUCAGAGACCUUGGUUGUAAGGCAAAGUGAGGAACAGCACGCGGUUCUCCCAUAGAGGUGGGAAAGACCUCUGAUAAGGCUCAGCACCCCCCAGUCAUGAUUUAAAGCAAAACAAAACUUGUGAAGGACGAGGCCAGGGAAGGUUUCCCAGCAGCAAAGGGCGUUUGCUGAGUGCCAGUAGCACGAUGCUGAACAGUGACACUUGUCACCAGUGGCGGGAUAACAGGUUUGUGGUUGCUGGGCACAGUGAGCGUGAUGCUGAGGCGGGGCCCAGCCGGGGUGAGGAGCAGCCCCUGGAGCAGAGGAAGGAGAGUGACAUCAGAGAUCGUCAUCUCUCGCAAAGCAAACCUCGUUUAGAUCUGCGCCCGACAGGCUGGCGUGACCACUGGACUCUGACGGGGUGGAGACACAGAUGGCGUGGGCCGUGACAGUGAAAUGCACACUGCACAUCCAAGACAGCGUGAGAAAACGCAAACCAGCCAGGAGCAGCUUCUACGUUGAGUAUGUGUGGAAAUGAUAUUUCAGAUAUAUUGGCCAAAAUGAACUGUAUAUUAAAUCAUCAUUACCUUUCAA